GUUCUUCAAUUCCUAAGUCAGAAAAGUCAUUUGAGAAAAAAAGAGAACUAGAGAGAGCCUUGAAUAAUUAGUUUCCUAUUCAACUUGGCUAUUUGUAGACAUGAACCCUAGCAAGCAGCUAGGAGGGGAGGUUGUAGGUCAUAUUAGGCAGACCGUAACGUCCAUACUAGGCAGACUAUAACGUUCUGCUAGUGAUGGUGCAGACUAGUCUCUACAAUCUUGCUAGCUAGUAGUCCUAAAGGUCUCUGUUGGUGUAAGAGCGCAGGCGCGUCGGACAUCCAAAAGGAUACUCUGAAGAGUUAGCUUCUUGCCACCAUUAGGCUGAAUAUGGGCUGGUGGCUAGACAUAUCAUGGGCCCCAAAGCACCUUUGAACACUGAAGGCCCAAAGGUCUAAUUAUCACAAGAUAAACAGGUACCAUGAUCCCUCAUAGAGGGCAGACAAAUGCCAUGUUCCCUGGAGUAGUUCAGGGUCUGUCUGCUCACAACGUCAAGAGUAAAACCAUCAUAGCGAGCAUAUGAUCCAUGUGUCCUCUUAUUAGAUGUGGUUAAUAUGUGUAUCCACAAAUACCCUCACAUCUACUUGUAUUUAAGUAGAAAACAAAAAGAGAUGUACUUCCUAUUUGCAUAGGAAUUUUCUUCCAAGACAAACUAGGUUUGCAAGCCUUAGUAGGAAAAGGCUUUGUGAGGAGAAUUCAGAGAGAAAAUCUCGGUAUGAAAUUUUUCCCUCUUUCUUCUUCCUUCCCCGAUUUCAUCAUGCAUUACCAGCUCAACAGGGGGCUGCCCUCUCGUACAUCGCGACCCGGGCAACACGGAUGUGUGCUACAGGGUGCACCAGGAGCUGCUGUUGGCUUUACCGAACUUGGGAUGGAAACCGGACCCAAUUGGGCAUGUGCUGCUUGCUAGAGCGCGCAAGCGCGCGCGGGCGGGGGUUGCUGGUGCGGGUUGCCUGGAGCGGGUAGAGCCGGUCCAAUUCGGGCCGGUUCAGCUGACUUUUCCAUUUUUUUGUUUAUAUUUUUGAAAAUUCCCCAGUUCUUUCGGUUCAAUCCAACAUCAGUCUAUUUUCUGUUAUAAAUAGACAAAAGUUAGAUAAAUAACAUUUGCUAAGGACAGGAGCUAAGUAGAUGCAAAAUAUCACACGAUAACUCCAACACAAAAGUAUUGUUAAGGAGGUGAGAGAUACUGAUAUUAUUUCUCUUCCUUGCUUUCUUUUUGCAGUGUACAUUUAGAUAGCACACGGAGAGUUCUAUUUAUAAAGUAACUCCCGUAACUACAACCAUCCAAAUACAAUAAUGAUACUUUGUAAGUAUCAAACAAUAUUCCUAAGCCUUUAUUUCUUUGAGUGGGCAUUCACCCACUAAUUCUACAACAUUUUCAGCAUUGAUAUCAACAAAAGCGAUAUCUGACUAAAUUAAGGUGUUAUGAGCAUCUUCUGAGAUUUUUUUCCCUUUCUUUGGGCAAUAAUUUAAACCAAAUACUGUAAUGUUUCGACAUGUAGAGUUGAUUUACAAUCACGAAGAAUAAUGUGAAGCGGCAAGGAGAAUCUGUGUACACGUUAGAAAUCUAGUUGAGUAUGGAUUAUACGGGCAAACAAAACUAUCAAUUAACAGAAAUUAAUUCGGGUGUAAAGCAUUAGACUUUACCUUGAAACAGAAAAAUAAUACAAGAUAAAAGAAAGUUUUAACAAAACACUACCAGUACUUUCACUUUUAACGAAAAAAACAUUUUUACUUUAAAAACUACCACAAUUCACUUGCAACACAUUUUUACCCUUCUAAUUAAAACUAAGUUUUCAAACUUUUUCAUUAAUUUUCCUAAGAUAAAAAGGGAAAAAUGCAGCCACAAUUAUUAACGACUUAUAAAAAGCUCCAAUAUAUUAAUAAAACGGAAGUUCUCCUAGUGAAAAUUCCAAUUAUCUCAGCAGCAACAGAGCAAAAACUUUAAACAGUCAUCAAGUAGCACAAAAACCGGAAAACAAUAACACA